rnacentral:lncRNA from 1 species
GAUGAAACACUUAGUUCUGAUCCUUCUCAGCUGCAAUCAUUGCUGGUGUCUAUUCAUACCUACCUCUACUGUGAGGUGUGUGUAGCCAGUGUGGAGGGUAUGAGAUAAAUAAGAUAAUUCUUUAUUGCCUGUGAGUGAGCAUAAAUACAUGUAUUUCAAAUAAAUACAUAAAAAUGUGAUCAUAAUUACAUACAAAUAUACAAAAGCAUGAGAAUGGAGAACAUAAUGGUUAUUCAACAAAGAAAUUGAUAAUGGUGCAAAAGACAUUUUAUGAUCAAUUAAUUUCUUUAUCAAAAGAUGAGGAUAAAUGGUGUUAAAGGUUUAGGAGAAAUCUACAAACACAAUUCUUACAUAAGCAGCAUGUUUUUCAAGAUGUUGAUAUUCAGAGUUUAACAAUGAAACAGUUGCAUCCUCCACGCCUCGUCUCACUCUAUAUACGAAUAUCAAAGGAUCUAAACGAGUAUUGACAUGAUUUAGUAUUAGAUGAUGUUACUCUAGGAAGUAGAUAUAUAGCACUGAUGAAACACUUUCUUCUGUUCCAUCUCAUCUGCUUUCAUCACUGGUGUCCAAUCCAUUUCUCCCCCUACUGUGAUCUAUGUAUAUCUGGUGUAGAGGGUUGAAGUAAAAAAGUGUCAGUAUCCGUGGAAUAUUAAUAAACCUUAGAUGAUGUUACACAAGAAAGUUGAUAUGUAAAGCCAUGAAACACUUGUGAUCCAUGACAGCUGCCGUCAUCACUGGUGUACAAUCCAUGUUUCCUACUGUGAGCUAUGUAUAGCUGGUGUAGAGGGUUGAAAACAAAAAGUGUCAGUAUCCGCGGAAUAUUAAAAAACCUUAGAUGAUGUUACACAAGAAAGUUGAUAUGUAAAACUGAUUAAACACUUAUGAUCCAAUUCAGCUGCCGCCAUCACUGGUGUACAAUCCACCUGUCCUACUGUGAGCUAUGUAUAGCUGGUGUAGAGGGAUGAAAACAGAUAAUGUCUUGUUCUUGCUGGAUGACAGGAUUUACCAAAUCUGAAAUGUGCCUAAUGGUGUGGUCCCAGUGGGGAUCUCGGGAGCUGGACCAACUAAGUGUGAAAAGCUCGGGAUGCAUAUAACCCUGUGUACCCUGAAUCACAUAGCUACAACUUAUAAUAUGUUCCCUUAAAGGUGACUCAAAUAUGUGAACUUCAGAACCAGGUAAAUGUCUAUGAUGCUGUUAUCUUAUUAUUUGCUUUAAUAUUUAAAAAUAUGGAUGGACAAUUGCAGAUAGAUAGUGAUAUAACGAAAAUAGGUGACACUUAUGAUUGACCAAGUUUAUACAUGAUGUUUUUAAUACUUUUACUACAUUUAUUCAGAUUUUAUGACACAUCCCACUUCCCACUAAAAUCCGAAAUACUCCUUUAUUUAUAAUAGCUGUGUCUUCAUCUGUUCAUGCUUCAAGGCGCAGCGGCACAUCGUCCAGUUGUUGAAGUAGAGGAUCCAGCUCGGAGUUUCUCAUGGUGGCAAGAGUUGUCAUCAUCUGCACUUGUCUGGCUGCAGUUGGGGGCAGGUCAUUUUCUUUCUCUGCACGUGCCACCAUCACGAGGAACUUGUACUGGUACAGUCGCAUCUUGUGGAUUUCAUUUAGCUCGACUUUAGCGUCUCCAGUGCCUGGAAGUCACAGGAAGUUAUACCUGUCUAAUAAGUCCUGCCUGCUGAAGUUGGCAUGCAAUACCGAACCUCUUUUUCAAAUUUCAUUGCUGCGAAUUCCCAAUUUAACAGCUUCCUAUCUGCUGUCAUGGCUGUCCAUCCCUUUGGAGGAUGGAGGUUCUGCCAAGGCAAAGAAGACUUCCCCGUCUGGUCCAUUCACUCCUUGCUAGGGGAAACUGGGGCAUAGCUACUGUCUUCAGCAGGUCCUCUGCCCGCUUCAUGAUGCUUGGACUGUGGCCUAUGGAUGCUGAUGUCAGCACUGAGGAUGCUGAGGUACUGCACUGUGUUUUCUUGCUCGUAGUAGUACUCUCUCCCUGAGAAUGACGCUUAGGCGGACAAAUGGUGGAAGAUUUAGAUGGCUAGGAGUAUGCCCGUUUAAUAUCUGAUAACUUGAUCUCGAAGUCUAUCUGUUGGUUACAGCCUUCCAAGAUCCAAGGAAGGUGGGUGAGAUCUACUGGAGCAGCUGCAUCUGAUGGCCGCUCAGUGGCUUUCCUUCCAACUAGCUGGAAUAACUUCCUUGCAAGGGCUUCUCCAAUUGACUUAUCCUUCAGUAGUUUGGAGACAAGUCAAGUUGUGUCCAGCUGAGAAGAGUGCCUGUAAUUUGGAAAUCCAGUGUUAUGCAAUGUGGAUAUGAAAAAAACUGAUAAAACAUGUUCUUCUGAUCCAGCUCUUCUGCUUUCAUCACUGGUGUGAGCUAUGUAUAGCUGGUGUAGAGGGUCAAAGACAAAUAAUAUCUUGUGCUUGCUGGGUCAGUAUGGUGACACUACGGUAGAAUAUGGAUGUAAAAAAAUGAUGAAACACUUUUUUCUGGUCCAUUCUCAGCUGCAACCAUUACCGGUGUGCAUCCAUACCCACCUCUGCAGUGUGCUAUGUAUAGCUGGUGCAGGGGGUCAAACAGAAAUAAGAUAAAUGAAUGUCAAUGUUUGAUGGGUAUGAUGUUCUUUGAACCUGUUUCUGUGUUUUUAGAUUAGCAUUAUAAACAGAAAAUGCUUGUAUUAUUACAGGGAUUGGGAUAGAGAACUUUGACAAAGGGCCAUUUUCAGGAUUAUUACCCAUUUUCUGAAUUUAGAAUGGGCCACUGCCCUUGUAUCAAUAGUAAACUUCAAAAUUUUAUUUUUGUAUUCUAAUGUGCAAAAUGGCCCAUGGCCCCUGCCUUUCCCAAUCCCUGUAUUAUGAAGCAUGAAAAAAUGUGAUAAAACAACAAUCGAAUAAUUACAUACAUAACACAAUAACAACAUGCAUCCCUACCCAGAUAUACGGUCUCAGAUACUGAGGAGCUUCUGUGAGGUUUCAUGAAAGGGUUUUGACAACGGCGCUGCUACAUUUUUAAUCAUUCAAACCAGUGAUCGGAUGUUCAAAUCCUAAAGUAUGUUUAUUGUCUCCACUGUAGAAUUUGUGUUAUCAAUUCAAGAAGCAACCUUGAUAACAUCCAGAUCUAUCAGGUCAACAAGGUGUUAUUGUGGGUUCUCCUAGUUCUCAACAUCCAUAUGGAAAACCUUGCCUGUCUGUUUUAGCAGGGUUCCCACAAGACCUGGAAACCUGGAAAUUUCACACCCCAUUUUCCAGUCUUAGAAUAUUCAUGGAAUUUUAAAAAAAUGGAUGAAAUCAUGGAAAAUUCAAGGAAGAAUCUUAGGGGUUUUAUCAAACAAGUAUAUCUCAACAGUACUACAAGGGCUAUGGCAGCCAUCAACAUGUGUAUCGGGAUUAGUUUGCAUCUAUGUUAAUACUUGCUUAAUUAAAUACAUGUGGUACUAAAAUUGUAAACAAUAAGAUGUAUUCAAUUGAUGUUUCAUUUCUAUUUUGUCAUCUUAUCAUAAAGAGGUGUGAAUGGACAGCUGUAAGGGGAGAUGGGAGGCCGUAUUUAAGAUAUUUUAAGGUAUCAAAAUACCCUAGGACAUAUAUUGUGUUUGGAAAAAGCAAUAUUUGUCUUGAAAAAUCAUGGAAUUUUUUUCCACAAAAAUAUGGGAACCCUGUUAAUUUCAUUUGUUGAAUGAAUAUUUUUCCAUGGUUUGCAGGAUACCUACAUGUAACCCCAAAACAGGGUCUGAGUUUCAGAUACGACAGUUAUGGUAUUUGUGUCACAACACUGGCGAAUGUUAUUUAGUAUUGAGGAAUGUGAAAGAUCUGUUUCUGUAUAUGUUGAAUGCAUUUUUGUAUUGUAUUGAUUGAUUGAUCUGACAUAUGAAUAAACUGUGAACCU